rnacentral:rRNA from 1 species
UAUCUCUGUAGAGUCUGCAUAUCAAUAAGCGGAGGAAAAGAAACUAACUAGGAUUCCCUCAGUAACGGCGAGUGAAGCGGGAAGAGCUCAAAUUUGAAAUCUUCAAGGUUUUACCUUGACGAAUUGUAGUUUAAAGAAGUGUUUUCUGUUGAAGUUUCGGUAAAAGUUCUUUGGAAUAGGACAUCAUAGAGGGUGAGAAUCCCGUAUUUGACCAUUUCUUCCAGCUGUGUGAUACACUUUCAAAGAGUCGGAUUGUUUGGGAAUGCAGUCCAAAAUGGGUGGUAAAUUUCAUCUAAAGCUAAAUAUUGGCGAGAGACCGAUAGCGAACAAGUACCGUGAGGGAAAGAUGAAAAGAACUUUGAAAAGAGAGUUAAACAGUACGUGAAAUUGUCAAAAGGGAAGCGUUUGACACCAGUGUUGUUUUCUCGAAAAUCAAUUAAAAAAGAUUGGAUUUUGUGUUGUAUUGACUUUAUCAGCUUUCUGCACUCUUUUCUUGUCUUUUUUAAUGCACUUUUCGUUUAACAAGUCAACAUCAAUUUCUUUUGUUGUAAAAGGGUCAUUGGAAGGUGGCUUUCUUUUCGGAGAAAGUGUUUAUAGCCUUUGACUUCUGCAAUCGGAGAGAUUGAGGUCUGCAGCGUAGAUCCUUCGGGGUUAGAUGCAUUUGUGCUAAGUUAUAGCCUUUCAUAGACAACUUGUUGACUAUGCUCAGUCAUGUAGCUUACUCGCUUGUAUGUACUUUACCUACGCUUAGGAUGUUGAUCUCUCACAGUCGAGC